CCUACGGGAGGCAGCAGUCGAGAAUCAUUCACAAUGGGGGAAACCCUGAUGGUGCGACGCCGCGUGGGGGAAUGAAGGUCUUCGGAUUGUAAACCCCUGUCAUGUGGGAGCAAAUUAAAAAGAUAGUACCACAAGAGGAAGAGACGGCUAACUCAGUGCCAGCAGCCGCGGUAAGACAGAGGUCUCAAGCGUUGUUCGGAAUCACUGGGCGUAAAGCGUGCGUAGGCUGUUUCGUAAGUCGUGUGUGAAAGGCGCGGGCUCAACCCGCGGACGGCACAUGAUACUGCGAGACUAGAGUAAUGGAGGGGGAACCGGAAUUCUCGGUGUAGCAGUGAGAUGCGUAGAUAUCGAGAGGAACACUCGUGGCGAAGGCGGGUUCCUGGACAUUAACUGACGCUGAGGCACGAAGGCCAGGGGAGCGAAAGGGAUUAGAUACCCUUGUAGUC
rnacentral:rRNA from 1 species